rnacentral:lncRNA from 1 species
AGAGUAGUAGUAGCUCCACCUCCUAUGAUGCCUUAUCAGAUUCCACCAGCUCAGCCUCCAAAUCCGGCCUUUAGACAUAACUCGCCUAUGCCAAAUGGAAUUCAAUGUUAUCCAUCUCCAUACCCAGCUAUGGUACGCUCAAGACCCCACCGAUGGGACUCCUAGAGGCUUUGGGUUUUUUGAAUUUGAAUCUGCUGAGGGGGUUCUCCGUGCAUUGCGAUUGCAGAGUAAAUUUAAUAUUGACGGACAGGAACUUGUGGAUCUUUGGGACUCGAUGGCUUUAAAUGUGCUUAAUCAAGCCUCUGGUAUGUUAUCCUCAUUUGUGAAUUUCUUGCCGAUUUUGCUAUUCUUUGAUAAUUAUUUUCAGAGGGUAUAGGAGGUGUUAUCAUCAACCUUAUGCAUUUUCCAUGUUUUUCUCACUGUCACUGAUCGGUCAAUAAAUAAGAGGCUUAAAGGUAACAUAGCAAAAUGAGAAAUGAAAACUAAAAAUUGGUUGCAUACCUGCCUAAUUAGGACAUUAUUGCUAGAAAUAACAAAUAAUGCACUUAGAACUUAGAGAGGAUGCUUUCCUUCAUGUCUUAAGUAGGUGAGUAGUUCUAAUCAGUGCUUUCCUAGCACAGGACAAAAAUAAAUUUCUAUAUGGUGCAUAAAGCAGCUUGCAAAACUUUGUCUCACAAUCUUGGUUUUUUGAUUUUUUGUAUCUCGAACAUUAAUUGGCUGGCAAUUCUUACUUUAUGGUUGAUGCUGCCUGCGAGUGUUCCACCUACUCAACGUGGUUGUUUAUGAGCUUUUUCGUUAUUGUUUAAAUAGUUUUUUCUAAUCUUAGUUCAUUGCAAACAAGUCAUUGGUUAUUGUUGGAUUUAUUUUGGAAUCCAUUUUACUAAGUGGUCAAAAUCAACUAGAAAUAUGUUAUUGUUCACUCCUCAAAUAUUGUUUGUGUGAUUUUCCUCUUAAAUCCACUUCAAAAUUUUAUUACCCUCGUUUUGAAGAAAAUGACUGAUAAAAGAACUUGAUCUAAUCUCCUUUGCCCUGAACAUUAAUCACCGUUCAUUGCCUUUGGUGACAAAUAUGACAACCGGGAAGAAGAACAACUAACCGUUGAACUCCACCCCAAGAUGGGAAACAAAUGUUUACCCAUUACUGCACAUGAAUACUUCUAUGAUAGCCAUAUAUGGACCCAAUUAAAUGGGUUGAUGGUGAUGUUAAAUAAAAAAUUGAGGUAUGUCUAUGAUUUAUGAAUAUUUCAAUUUCACUUAUUUGGAUCUCAAAUUGUUUUUGAACUUCUUGCUACUUGUUCAUCUACUAAUUCAUCAUAUUCUUAUAACUUCAUCAUUAUAUGUCUCCCUCAUUGAACCGCGGUUCGAGAUGUUUAAAAUUUUGAAUCGACCCUUGAACCUCUAGUUCCGGUUUCAACACGGUUUUAAUGAAUCGACGGUUCGAAUUACG